UGAGUGCAGUGUGUGGGAAAAGGGUCCCAGGGUACAGGAGGUCUGCUGUACAAACCAGGAGACUGCAUCCAUAGGGAGAAGCCUGGCCCGUAGGAAUGCUGGAGCACUGCUCUGUCCCUGUUACGCCACUGAGGAAAGCAGCAGGAACAAGCGCCUUGGAUAGCAGAUGAUGUUCUGUACCAGUUGCAACAGCAAUAAGCAGACUGAAAGGGAGGAGAAAGGCAAACCUAAGAGAUCAAAUUCACCAGAACAAACUAGGAUGGUAUUGGAAAUAUUCCUGGAGAGUUGGGAGAUAAUUUGGGGCUCGAACCUGUGCUGCUGUCCUCCUCCUUUGCCCUCAAAACUAGCUCUUGACAUGUCUGUCCCAUCUAUGAGACAUUAUGAGACCCUUGUUCCAUGGAGGAACUAACACUUCUGAGCUUCUGAGCCUCCCUACAGAACAUUUUCUUUCAGGCACUUUCGUCUCCUCCCCGGUGCCCUUUCAGAUGCUUCUUUGACCCUUUGUGCAUUGACUCAACUCACCAACCUCACAGAAAAAGCCCUCUUCAUUUGCUUCUUGAAUUGAUUCAGUGUGCAACUGUGUGAACCCCAUAACUCUGUGAGGGAAGAGGGGAGUGAAGGAAGAAGUUGGUGGAAGAGAUGGAACUGUCCUUUUUUUGGUGGUCAAACCAUUAUUAUCACCCACUGAGGGUGCAACUUGAUGUUACACCUAACCAACUCUGCAUGCAAGCUGCUACUGAAGAAAAUAGUCCUCAACUCACUGACCUGAUGCAAAGAGAAAUUUUUUUUUUUUUUUUUUUUUUUUGUGAGUUGCUACAAAAUUGUGUGAUUGUUAAAUCCAGUUCAGGGGAAGGUGCAGGAAUGUCUGUGUGGAAGUGGUUGGGAAAAACAAAAAACAGAACUGCUGCUUUUUGUGAUGAUCUCCAUUUUGGUCAUGCUAUCAGGAUGUGAAACUGUCCUCUUUGCAUGCCUGUGGAAGGAUGAAAACAAAACUCAGAUUGUAAAAAAUAAAAUUAGUUUUGAGUUGGGUCAACACACUAAUCUGACUUGACAGCUGCAGAAAAGCUCGUCCUAACACAGGGAGAGAAUGAGAAGAUGCAGUGGGGGACAGGAGAUAGGGGAAUCUCCUCAUUUGGUAGCAGAGUGCUCUUAGAUUUGCUGAUGCUGAACAUGGAGUAGCUCCCCAAGGAGGGAAUUCCAAGUGUUAGAAUAAAUUUUCAGCUUUUUGUAAUAAAUGGCUCACCAAAAUGAACCAGCUUAAAAAAAAAAAUCUUCUAUUCUUGGAAGCUGAGUGUUUUCAUUAGCCUCACAGGUGAAUUUGUGGGAGAAUGGAGAACUAUACCAGUGAGCGAAUAACAGACUAGGAAAUUGGGAAAUCAGGAACCUACUCAACUGGCUCUGCUAUCAGGAAAGCUAUGGGAAACUCUGUCUUUGAUUUUUUACAGUAGCUUGUAAUGAAGAAGAAUAAGGAUGUACUUCAGCAACCCUUUCUUCUUGCUCAUUAUUAUGGUACUAUAACCCCAAUUUCCUGGUACUGUGGGGUGGAGGGAGUGGUACAAUACCAAAACCAUGAUGUGUGGCAUGGUAGGGAGCAGGGUACAUUUCAUAUGUGGUUUUGGAGGGGCUAAAUCCAUAUUUGAUUCUGUAAGUUAACUUUCUGUAAACUUAAAUGUUACUAUGACCUGAAAUUUACUUAAAAUUGCUGUUUCUCGGA